rnacentral:rRNA from 1 species
AGAGUUUGAUCAUGGCUCAGGACGAACGCUGGCGGCGUGAUUAGGCAUGCAAGCCGAACGAGAAACCGGGCUUCGGCCCGGCGGAAAGUGGCGAACGGGUGAGUAACGCGUGGGUAAUUUGCCUCUGAGAUGGGGAUAACAACUCGAAAGAGUUGCUAAUACCAAAUACGAUUCGGUUGACUUCGGUCGGCCGUAUGAAAGGUGGCUUCGGCUGCCGCUCGGAGAUAAGCCCGCGUCCUAUUAGCUUGUUGGUGUGGUAAAGGCGCACCAAGGCGACGAUGGGUAGCUGGUCUGAGAGGAUGGUCAGCCACAUUGGGACUGAGACACUGCCCAAACUCCUACGGGAGGCUGCAGUCGAGAAUAUUUCGCAAUGGGGGAAACCCUGACGAUGCGACGCCGCGUGGGGGAUGAAGGCCUUCGGGUCGUAAACCUCUGUGUUACGGGAUGAAUCGAGCGUUGCUGAUAACGCAGCGUUCUUGACGUUACCGUAGUAGAAAGCCCCAGCUAACUACGUGCCAGCAGCUGCGGUAAUACGUAGGGGGCAAGCGUUGUCCGGAAUCACUGGGCGUAAAGCGCGCGCAGGCGGUAGGGUAAGUCAGACGUGAAAGGGUUCGGCUCAACCGAACCAUUGCGUUUGAUACUACUUUACUUGAGUCUAGAAGAGGAAAGUGGAAUGUAUGGUGUAGCGGUGGAAUGCUUAGAUAUCAUAUAGAACACCCGUGGCGAA